CAAAUUGACCCAAACCCCUGACGGCGUGCUUGUUCAUGGAGAUUGAUGGAGCUAAGUGGGUCAGCGAGACUGAGAGCUUAUGAUUUGAAAGGUGGAAGCAUUCAGUUCCGUGAGCUCAGGGAUUUCUUGCUACGCCGUAAACUUCUUUUGUUUUGGGGGGGUUACCAUCAAGCUUCAUUUGUGGGCACAGACAAGGUUUUGACCAGAGUCUUCGACGUAUCUGAAGACCUAUGCUAUUGCCGCCAUCUUCUAAUUGUGGACAUUGUUCCAGCUUUUCUGCACUGCUUAUGGAACAAGUAUUUAUUAAUUUUUUAGUUUAAUCGCCCAUAUUUCAUUAAGAGGGGGGAACACACCACAACGAGCAUUUUUUAGCAGGACAAAGGAAAUGCUCAAUCUCUGGAUUCUGUAUGUGAUCUCUAGCAUUUUUGCUUCUUAGAAUUAAUCGUGUUCCCUUUUUUUAUGCCAAUAGCCAAGAAUGGAUACAAAUAGUUGAAGUUUGAUGCAAUGGACAAGUAACACAUUCGUGCCAACAGAGAUAACUUACUCAAUGGUCAUUAUUGAGAAAUUUGACGUAUAUAGCUUUGCUAUAGUAAUGUUAGAAGUUCCAAUGUGAAGAUAUCCUGUUGAAUUGAUACAACAGUGCCAACUUUGAUUGAGCAACAUAUAUUGCUAAAAGGGGUGCUGGAUCAAUGCAUAUUAUCAAACUUCACGAGCCACUCAAUGUAAUGGAAUUAAAUUGAUGGAUUUAUAAAGCAGGGGAAGAAAAAAAAAGCUCUGCCGUAUUUGACUCGGAGGGAACCCCUAAGCAAGGCAAGGAAAUCUCUGCACGCUUUUGGAAAGGAGGAAGAUGAGGGGGGGAGCACAGAGAAAGAAAAGCAAAGGAAUUCAAAGGCCUCGGUUGAUAUCUUUAUAGCCCCCUGUGAAGCCUUGGGAUGCUGCUGUCCCUAUGAUGGGGCGCAUCCAAGGGCCCUCAUUGAUACUGUGACGGAAUCGAUUAAAGAAGAAACAGCACAGCUGCUGCUGUGUGCGAACGCAGAGAUUGGGGUCGUUGCGCUGCUUGCUUUGCAGCUAGCUAGCUGCUUUUGUCAUUCACCUGCGUUGGGGCGUGGUUUUUUUUUCCCGCUUUUCUUCUGAGAGAGGGGCUGAAGGCUAAAAGCCUUUCACUUCUCGCGCAGAAUCGCAUUAUGCGAGAUGUCUUGGAGAUAAAAGAGUUGUCCGUAAUAGUAUGCGUGCGAAAAUCGCGAACAUGCAUUGUAAAUCUCAGUAGUUGUUUCCUAAGUUUUUUUCCGGCAGAACAUGCAUUGAUUCAUGACGGUGUUUUAGCUUCAAAGUGUACGUGAGCGUUGGCUAUUUAUGGGGUUAUUGCUAAUCA